CGCCAUGGAGCGCGGGGAGCUGGCCAAGAAAAUCGGCACCACACCUGACAUCAUCCUGGACGACCUCCUGGAGAUCGACCGAGUCACCGCCCACUUCUGAGGGACCCCAAAACCCCAAAAACCCCCAAAAAAACUUCCAAAAUUCCCCCAAAACUCCCAAAAUUCCCCCAAAUCCCCCGUUUGUAAUAAAACACAAUUCUCAACUCAGGUUUUGGGGUUUAUUUGGGGAAUUUUGGGGAGAGGUUUUGGGGUAAUUUUAGGGGAUUUUGGGGAAAGGUUUUGGGGGAAUUUCAGGGGAUUUUGGGGGAAUUUUAGGGAAAGAUUUUGGGGUAAUUUUAGGGGACUUGGGGUUCACAGUGGCUGUGGGAUUUCACAGUGAAUUUUGGGGAGGGGGUUUUGGGAUUUUUGGUAUUUUGGGGGAAGUUUUUUGGGUGGGUUUUAGGGUUUUUUUUGUGGUUUUCAGUGAGGUUUGACCGUUUCCCCAAAAUUCUUGGGGGGUUUUCCAGGAAUUUUUGGGGUGUUUUUCUCUUUUCCAGAUGUUUUUUUUGGGGGGUGGUUGUUUUGGUUUUUUUCCCAGGGUUUUUUUACCUGGUUUUGUAAAUUUUGGGGUGUUUUCAUAUGGUUUUGGGGUGUUUCUUGGUUUUCUGUUUUAUUUCAGGUAUUUUUUGGGUUUUUUGGGAACUUCAGCUGUUCCCGGCCAGUUUUUGGGGCGUUUCUGGGUAUUUCCGCUGUUCCCAGCCGGUUUUUGGGGUAUUUUUGGGGAUAUUUUUGGGUAUUUCCGCUGUUCCCAGCCAGUUUUGGGGGUAUUUUUGGGGUAUUUCUGGGGCGUUUCUGGGUAUUUCCGCUGUUCCCGGCCGGUUUUUGGGGUAUUUUGGGGUAUUUUUGGGGUAUUUCUGGGUAUUCCUGCUGUUCCCGGCCGGUUUUUGGGGUAUUUCUGGGUGUUUCCGCUGUUCCCGGCCAGUUUUUGGGGUAU
rnacentral:lncRNA from 1 species